CCUACGGGAGGCAGCAGUAGGGAAUCUUCCACAAUGGGCGAAAGCCUGAUGGAGCAACGCCGCGUGGGUGAAGAAGGUCUUCGGAUCGUAAAACCCUGUUGUUAGAGAAGAAAGUGCGUGAGAGUAACUGUUCACGUUUCGACGGUAUCUAACCAGAAAGCCACGGCUAACUACGUGCCAGCAGCCGCGGGAAUACGUAGGUGGCAAGCGUUAUCCGGAUUUAUUGGGCGUAAAGGGAACGCAGGCGGUCUUUUAAGUCUGAUGUGAAAGCCUUCGGCUUAACCGGAGUAGUGCAUUGGAAACUGGGAGACGUGAGUGCAGAAGAGGAGAGUGGAACUCCAGGUGUAGCGGUGAAAUGCGUAGAUAGAUGGAAGAACAGCAGUGGCGAAAGCGGCUCUCUGGUCUGUAACUGACGCUGAGGUUCGAAAGCGUGGGUAGCAAACAGGAUUAGAUACCCCAGUAGUC
rnacentral:rRNA from 1 species